GGAAGAAUGGUUGCUAGCCAGUGGUGAUAGAUUGGGAAAGGUUAAUAAAGAGAAGAAACUUUCAGGAAGACUCACUAUCACCACUACUGUUUGUCACUGCACUGAUUCCUUGUCAACAAUACUGAAUAUCAUCAUCAAAUAUCAAAAACAUCUACCAGGCUAUCCUACUUCCUUUGCAUGAAUGAUCUGAAGCUGUAGGAAAAAACACUUGAAGAUCAGUAAGAUAUUUUUCCAGGAAUUAAACCAUUAGCAAAUAUCCAUCGUGUGCAAACUAAAAGGCACAAUGGGCAAAUCUAUGCAGUUUUCUCACACUACAGAAGCAAUCAUGGAUCAUAGGAUUGGAAGGGACGCUGGAUAUCUUCUAAUCCAGCCCUUUGCCCAAGGCAGGAUUCUUCACAUCUUAUUUGACAAAUGAAUUAUUUAAUCUUUUCUGAAAACUUCCAGCAAUGGAGCACUCACAAGUUCAGGAGGUUCUCAUGUUACACCCAGUCCCCAGUUCUGCAAAAUAAAGGCCUUACAACUGCAAAGGUAAUAGAUUUAUGAGGCGCUGAAUGAUACUGGUUGUGUAGCUUUUUACAGAAAGCCUUUUCAGAAAAUGAAAAAUAAAAGUUAAAGGUAGUAGUUAAACCAUUAAUGGUGUUGCAUGAUAGAAAAUGAUAAUUAUCCCUCUGUGAAUAAAUUAAAACAGCUGAUUA